rnacentral:rRNA from 1 species
GUAGGGUGCAAGCGUUAAUCGGAAUUACUGGGCGUAAAGCGUGCGCAGGCGGUAAUGUAAGACAGUUGUGAAAUCCCCGGGCUCAACCUGGGAACUGCAUCUGUGACUGCAUUGCUGGAGUACGGCAGAGGGGGAUGGAAUUCCGCGUGUAGCAGUGAAAUGCGUAGAUAUGCGGAGGAACACCGAUGGCGAAGGCAAUCCCCUGGGCCUGUACUGACGCUCAUGCACGAAAGCGUGGGGAGCAAACAGGAUUAGAUACCCUGGUAGUCCACGCCCUAAACGAUGUCAACUGGUUGUUGGGUCUUCACUGACUCAGUAACGAAGCUAACGCGUGAAGUUGACCGCCUGGGGAGUACGGCCGCAAGGUUG